AACUGAGAGCAAAAAAUGGUCAGAUGGUGGACUUGAUGACAAAUGCUGCCCGAUAAACAUGAAACAUGACUGAAACGUUUCAAAUGUGUAGUUAUAUUGCACAAAUGUAACAUAUCAACGUCUUUAGCGCACAUGAGAUUCAUGGUUCUACCGGUUCCCAUCGCGCAUGGCAUUUAUUAUCUUAUGAAACAUAACCACUAUCGUUUCUCCGAACAACACAUUAUUUGGGAGGUUAUAUUAUUUAAUUUUUCAUUAUUAGAAUACUUGAGUGGUUCGGCAAAAUAAGUGAUAAUAUAUUGGUUGAGGCUGUCGAAAACGAUGAUUGAUUAUAAACUGAGAAUUUAUCCAACUCAAAGAAGACUGGAGUCUUUUGCUUAGAUAUAACUGGAUUUUAGAAAUUCUUUUUAUUUUUGUGUGUUUGUGUUGGUUUUUGUUUAUUUAUUUAAUGAAAAUGAAAUGAACCCUAUGAUGAUAGAGAAUUGAAAAUUCGAUUCAGACAUAACAACAUGAGUGAGGAAAUUCGAGUAGUUCUGAUGCCGAAAGCGAAACUUGAAUAAAAGUGGUGGUGGUGGUUAAAAUUUAAAAAAAAAUUAAAUAAAAUUAAAAUUCUGGUGUCUAAAAUAUGUUCAUUAAACAAACUUUCUUUGCAAAAA